ensembl:lincRNA AW121686 expressed sequence AW121686
AUCCAUCUGACAUGUCGGAUUUCUUUGUGGCAUCCACUCCAUCGCUCAGCAGCCAGCCAUGAUGUCAUAAGCCCAUCAGAUUUCCGAUUCCUCACUGGAGAGACGGGGACACUUCAAAUGCAGCCAAUUGCACCAAAGAGCAGAUUAGCGGAAUCAAGGUCUCCUGCCUCAUCUUACUACCCGGGGGAAAAGGGGGCUGCUGAACCCGAGGCUUGGAGCUCCCACCCGCACAAGUCGCCAUAACCAAGAACCUAAGAUUCUGGGGACGCCGCGGGGUCUUCGUGUGUGCGAGCUGCCCCUUUCCCCUCCGGGAGUUACUCAACGCACUCCAGCAAACUUUCCAGAAGCGUCUACAGCUUCCCGUGGCUCUGCAACACUACCAACCAUCAACUCGCGUCCACAGCCUCGCUUGCUCCCGGCUACCUGGAGGUCCCCCGAGUCCCAGGACCGCGCGCACCUCCACACACUCUCCAGCCACUGCGGACCUCAGCCUUGGGGAUCAGUCUGUCCCCGUUUCAGAUCUCCCGGGCGCCUCCUCCGCACCACCUGCGCUCAUCUACACCGCCUCGGGGGUCCUCGGGUCGCUUGCGUCUACACAGCUUCAGCAGUCUCCGGGUCUACACAACCCAGCACAUGAGCGAUGCCCUCAAGGUUCACCCAGUGUCUCAUCCCAGUGCCUACCUUGCCUACUACAGUUCCUCACGCUCCCGUCCUGGCUGUGCCUUCUGGUUCACACACAUUUUGCAAUCUUGUCAGUAGAGAAAGGAAAGGAAAUCUUGUAAUCCUCCUGCAGCCACGUGGUGUUUGCCCCUAACCCCCUUCUCCGUUUUUUUAGUUGUUUUGUUCUUUUUUUUUUUUUUCCUUUAGAACAAUAUUCAUCCCCAACGGCCGCUAGCUGCGGGCUCCGGGCAAACGCAGCUGGCUGCGGGGGCGUGGCCCUGGGCGGAGAGAGGGCGUGGCCUGGGCGGGCAAAGCGAAGUGUCUCUGCCCUGGCCUCCCUCCGCUAGGAAACCGUGGCCUGCGACCAAGGCUCCUGUUCCAGCUCAGGAUUGGUCAGCCCACUCGCGAUGCUGAUGCCUAAUUGGCUGAGACGAAGAAGACUCAGAGGUGGUGGUGGUGGUGGUGGUGGUGUGUAGAUUUUAUUCUUUGCCUUUUUUUUCCCCCUGAGGCGGCCGCUGCUCUGUGGGUUCCUCCUGAACUCUGCAGCCUUUUACUCUCUAACACCGUGCUCCCCAUCGUAAUGUUUAAUCCCACCUCGAAUGAUAACUACAUUUCUUUGUCCUUCUCCACCUCCAUGAGGUCAGGACUCGGGGUUUCGACCGCUUAGUAGUGUAGCCCCAGUGCCUGCCUUAUAGUAGGUGUAUCAAAAACAUUUGUGGAUUAUAUUAAUAGAAAUGGUGCACGUGGGGUCUUGGAGCUAUAUUUAACGCUGGCAACAGUCCUAAGGAGAAACAGAGGUACAGAGAUUGGAGGAACCACCGGCCUGAUUGUGGUUACAUAUAGGCUUAAUAUGUAGGCUCCAGCUUUGUAAACAGCAAUGCCCUGUGGGGUAUCAGAACCUGCUUCUCACGUGUCCAGUGUUAGACUAAAGCAAGAAGAGGGUCGCAAUAUAAGUUAUUUCAGUGAAUGUGCUGUCCCUAGCACGGCGUUUCGCAGCGCCGAAAUGAAACCCCUCCUGUCUCCGUGCUAAGAUCGCAGUGACUGUUGAGCCUCUCCCUUCAUGGAAACCCACCUGCUUAACACAGGUCACAGUGUCAAUCUCUGACUGUUUGGGCAUAGCACGUGUGUACCCAGGGAGAGCCACAAGAAUGAUCAAACCACGAGCAAGUGACAUGAUCCUAGAUACCGAUCUUUGGUUGGGAUGUCCUUGGAGAAACCCUGAGAGGUCUUUUUGAUUGAAGAGUAGUUUCUAAGAAGAGAUUGAGAAAGGGCUUGCCUGAUAAAGGAGUGUGUAGGAGGCGCUGCUCAUAGAGUUGGAUCGUAGUGGGUUAAUGAACCAGAAAAAUGCUCCGGGGAAACCUGUUUCCUAUAUAGUGUGUAUCCAGAGUCGGGACUGAGGAAGGCUGGCUUGGUGCCUGAUGAAUGAGUUCUUGUGUCCGUGACUUCACGUGCCCUUCUUAUAAGAACACCAGUUGGUAGAUUUAGGGCCCACCCUAAUCCAGUGUAACCUUAUCCUAGGUCAAUUAAAUCCGUGAAGACCC